CAUUCUGUAGCAAUACAGGAUGUGGGCGCGUGGCGAACGGGUGCGUAACACGUGGAUAACCUUCCUUCAGGUGGGGAAUAACCCAGUGAAAAUUGGGCUAAUACCGCAUAACAUCGCGAUGGCACAUGCUGUUGCGUUCAAAGGCGCAAGUCGCCAGAAGAGGGAUCCGCGGCCGAUUAGCUUGUUGGCGAGGUAAUGGCUCACCAAGGCAUUGAUCGGUAGCCGGACUGAGAGGUUGGCCGGCCACACUGGAACUGAGACACGGUCCAGACUCCUACGGGAGGCAGCAGUGGGGAAUCUUGCACAAUGGACGAAAGUCUGAUGCAGCAACGCCGCGUGGGGGAUGAAGCUUCUCGGAGUGUAAACCCCUUUCGACCCGGAAGAAAGCCCGCAAGGGUUUGACGGUACGGGUAUAAGAAGCCCCGGCUAACUACGUGCCAGCAGCCGCGGUAAAACGUAGGGGGCCAGCGUUGCUCGGAAUUACUGGGCGUAAAGGGUCCGUAGGCGGUGUGGCAAGUCGGUAGUGAAAUCUCUGGGCUUAACUCAGAGGCUGCUGCCGAAACUGCUGUGCUAGAGUGCGAGAGAGGCGAGUGGAAUUGCGGGUGUAGCGGUGAAAUGCGUAGAUAUCCGCAGGAACAUCCGAGGCGAAAGCGGCUCGCUGGAUCGCAACUGACGCUGAGGGACGAAAGCUAGGGGAGCAAACAGGAUUAGAUACCCUGGUAGUCCUAGCCCUAAACCAUCAGGACUUGGGGUUUGCCCUGUACGGGGCAAGUCCCGUAGCUAACGCGUUAAGUCCUGCGCCUGGGGAGUACGGUCGCAAGGCUGAAACUC
rnacentral:rRNA from 1 species